UACGAACGCUGGCGGCGCGCCUAAUACAUGCAAGUCGAGCGAGAAGACGUAGCAAUACGUUUGUAAAGCGGCGAACGGGUGGGGAAUACAUGGGUAACCUACCCUCGAGUGGGGAAUAACUAGCCGAAAGGUUAGCUAAUACCGCGUACGCUCCUUGGACUUCGGUUCAGGGAGGAAAGCGAUACCGUGGGUAUCGCGCUCUUGGAUGGGCUCAUGUCCUAUCAGCUUGUUGGUGAGGAACGGCUCACCAAGGCUUCGACGGGUAGCUGGUCUGAGAGGACGAUCAGCCACACUGGCACUGCGACACGGGCCAGACUCCUACGGGAGGCAGCAGUAAGGAAUAUUGCGCAAUGGGCGAAAGCCUGACGCAGCGACGCCGCGUGGGGGAUGAAGGUCUUCGGAUUGUAAACCCCUUUCGGGAGGGAAGAUGGAACGAGCAAUCGUUCGGACGGUACCUCCAGAAGCAGCCACGGCUAAC
rnacentral:rRNA from 1 species